rnacentral:rRNA from 2 species
UAAUGUUUGAUGUUCUAACGUGGACCCGUGAUCCGGGUUGCGGACAGUGUCUGGUGGGUAGUUUGACUGGGGCGGUCUCCUCCUAAAGAGUAACGGAGGAGCACGAAGGUUGGCUAAUCCUGGUCGGACAUCAGGAGGUUAGUGCAAUGGCAUAAGCCAGCUUGACUGCGAGCGUGACGGCGCGAGCAGGUGCGAAAGCAGGUCAUAGUGAUCCGGUGGUUCUGAAUGGAAGGGCCAUCGCUCAACGGAUAAAAGGUACUCCGGGGAUAACAGGCUGAUACCGCCCAAGAGUUCAUAUCGACGGCGGUGUUUGGCACCUCGAUGUCGGCUCAUCACAUCCUGGGGCUGAAGUAGGUCCCAAGGGUAUGGCUGUUCGCCAUUUAAAGUGGUACGCGAGCUGGGUUUAGAACGUCGUGAGACAGUUCGGUCCCUAUCUGCCGUGGGCGCUGGAGAACUGAGGGGGGCUGCUCCUAGUACGAGAGGACCGGAGUGGACGCAUCACUGGUGUUCGGGUUGUCAUGCCAAUGGCACUGCCCGGUAGCUAAAUGCGGAAGAGAUAAGUGCUGAAAGCAUCUAAGCACGAAACUUGCCCCGAGAUGAGUUCUCCCUGAGACUUUAGGUCUCCUGAAGGAACGUUGAAGACGACGACGUUGAUAGGCCGGGUGUGUAAGCGCAGCGAUGCGUUGAGCUAACCGGUACUAAUGAACCGUGAGGCUUAACCUUACA